GAUGAACGCUGGCGGCGUGCCUAAUACAUGCAAGUCGAGCGAACGGACGAGAAGCUUGCUUCUCUGAUGUUAGCGGCGGACGGGUGAGUAACACGUGGAUAACCUACCUAUAAGACUGGGAUAACUUCGGGAAACCGGAGCUAAUACCGGAUGAUAUUUUGAACCGCAUGGUUCAAAAGUGAAAGACGGUCUUGCUGUCACUUAUAGAUGGAUCCGCGCUGCAUUAGCUAGUUGGUAAGGUAACGGCUUACCAAGGCAACGAUGCAUAGCCGACCUGAGAGGGGGAAGGCCCAACCUGGAACGGGAACAGGGUCCAAAUCCCUAGGGGGGGCAGAAGUAGGGAACUUUCCCAAAGGGGGAAAAGCUGAAGGGGAAAACGCCGGGUGGGGGAUGAAGGUUUCGGGAUAGAAAAACUUUUUUAUUAGGGAAAAAAAAUUGUGAAAGAAAAUGGGAACAUUUUGACGGUACCUAAUCAAAAAACAACGGCUAACUACGU
rnacentral:rRNA from 1 species